AUUCUCAACCAUAGAUGGAUUGUCAACGAUAAUUUACACUUCAUUCUUUUGGAGAGACUAUAGAAAAAGAGAUAGACUUAGAAUAAAAAAAUAAUUUGUAAUAUGUCUACUUAGCUGCAAAUGAUAUAUUACAAUGUACUCUACUCACUAUGACCACAAAGGAAAGAACACAAUUUAUGUAGCUAGAACAUUCUACUAACAAUUUUCAUUCUACUUAAAAUCCUUUCUAUAUUUUUCAUGACUUCAAUCUACAAUAUCACUUCAAUCAUAGUCCUUGCCAUUAUUAGCUUCUCCAAACCUCCCAUGCAUCCCAAUUGACAUAAGAACACAUACAUGGCACUUCGGGGUCUAGGAAGCAUGUUCAUUAUCAAUGACAUUUGGGACGAACAAAUUGAAACCUCUGCUAGAUUUCAUGCAGCAUCUGUAGAUGCGGCGAUUCUCAUCAGCCUUCUCCGCCAAGGAAUCCAAUUGACCAGGAUAAUUUUGGACAGAUUGAGAUAGCAGUUGGCUCACCUAUCAAGGCAGAUGACUUGAAUUAUUCCAUCAUUCGUCCGCCUCAACCCUUUCGAAGUUGCAUAUACCCGUUUAGUAUCAUUUGGCAACAUGGCAGUUGGAGCACCUGAGGCUGCACCUUCACGUGUACUUCUGUUCACAACUGCUCCACAUUUCGCACAAGAAACUUGUGGCACACGCCGGGUUCCUCCCAUAUUAUACGCCAGCCAUGUAGUAGCAAACGUCUUAUGUAAUAUUUCAAACGAUCUCGCCCAGAUGAGUGAUCGGUUGCAAACCACACCAGUCUGGACAAGUCCAUCACAAGUGCCUCAUUACUUUCCAGCAGUGAAAUCAGCCUUCAGUCAGGCAUUGAUUCGUUGGCAAACCAUUCCGCCGAACUAAAGAAAUGCAUGAGCACGGAGCUCAAACACAACUCAUUCAACCAUGCAGGUCAUCACGUUCGCAACAUCUGAAAGCGUCAUGAAGUUGUCCAGAAGCGGCAAGAAGAGAACACUCUGUACGCCACUGCAUCACCACGCAAUGCUGUCGUAUAGCUAAUUGCCCUGACCUUUUGAACGCUGUUGUUAUCAACAGCGCGAGUCGGACCCCGGAACGGACACAAUGAAAACUAAUUAGCUCCUACCUUCUGGUGACCAUCCCGAAGCCGGACCACAACUCCAUGUGAGGUUUGCUACAGGCAACGAACAUUCGAUCCUCAAGCAUGAGUCACAUCACUCGGAAGGAAAGCACAGAAUGGCCAAGUCUCUUCCUCCAGCACCACACAAAAUCGCAACAGUCGAAAGCAAACUCGCAG
rnacentral:lncRNA from 1 species